rnacentral:rRNA from 1 species
AAUCAACGCUGGCGGCGUGCCUAACACAUGCAAGUCGAACGCGAAAAUCCUUUCGGGGAUGAGUAGAGUGGCGUCCGGGUGAGUAACGCGUGGGUAAUCUGCCUUUGGGUGGGGGAUAACCCAGGGAAACUUGGGCUAAUACCGCAUAAUGCAGCGGCUCGACAUCGAGACAGUUGUUAAAGCAGCGAUGCGCCUAAAGAGGAGCCUGCGUCUGAUUAGCUUUGNGGUGAGGUAAUGGCUCACCAAGGCUACGAUCAGUAGCUGGUCUGAGAGGACGGCCAGCCACAAUGGCACUGAAACACGGGCCAUACUCCUACGGGAGGCAGCAGUGGGGAAUUUUGCGCAAUGGGCGAAAAGCCUGACGCAGCAACGCCGCGUGAAGGAUGAAAUCCCUCGGGAUGUAAACUUCGCAAGUCUGGGAAGAAACAAA